UCUCCGUAGGUGAACCUGCGGGAGGAUCAUUAUUGAAUAAACCUGAUGUGGUUGUAGCUGGCCCUUUCGGGAGCAUGUGCACACCCGUCGUCUUUAUCUUUCCACCUGUGCACCUUUUGUAGACCUGGAUGUAACACUUUCCGAGGCAACUCGGUCGGGAGGAAUGCUGUCAGCUUUCCUUGAAUGUCCAGGCCUAUGUUUUCAUAUACCCCAAAGAAUGUAACAGAAUGUAUUAUUGGGCCCUGUGCCUAUAAACUAUAUACAACUUUCAGCAACGGAUCUCUUGGCUCUC
rnacentral:misc_RNA from 1 species